ACAAUACAAAAUUAGCUUUAUCAAUAUUAUCAUAUAUUAUAAAUUAAGAUAAUGAAUUAUUAAUUAGUAUAACCAUGGUUUUAGUUUUAUAAGGUUACCACUUCGAAUGUCUGAUAAACAAUUGCGGUUAUGUUCAAUUUUUACGUAAAUAAUAAUUAUACGUUAAUUUGAUAAUUUGUAUUUUUUUAAUUUUACUUUUUAGUAUUUACGUUCUAAGUAGUUAGUUUUUGUAUAAUUAAAUAAUAUGUUCUUUACCCUGUACAGUAUACAAAUUACAGAUCUAAACAGUUCUCUUUAGAUAUGGUCUUCAUCAGUCAUUCUUAUAGUCAUUGGAAACAACCGGUACAAUGUAUCGAUAAAUAAUUGAAACCAUUGCAAAAAACAAGUUAAAUUCAUGCUAUCUACAACAUUCAUAUUCAAAUCUUCAUAACUUAAAUCAUUUAGCAAGAUACAGUAACUGAAGUAUACAUGUAUCCAGGCCAAUAAGGAGAUAAUUCUGUUUGGAAAAACAUCUGAAAAAACUGUUCCUACUAACAUAAUUGUUUAUCCAUCUGCAAAGAAGAGAUUCCAGAUAAAUUAGUAUAAUUGUGACUAACAUGGACUACUCAAAAAAGAUGUGUUGUUCGCAUACAAACUAAUCGCUAUCCAGCAAGUUGUCAAUAUUACUCUAUUGAUAAAUAUCUGAUAAUUGUUUAUCAAACAAAGUUUGUUGGUUUAAAUAAAAUAAAAGAAAACUUGAUACAAA